GAUGAACGCUGGCGGCGUGCCUAAUACAUGCAAGUCGAGCGAACAGACGAGGAGCUUGCUCCUCUGACGUUAGCGGCGGACGGGUGAGUAACACGUGGAUAACCUACCUAUAAGACUGGGAUAACUUCGGGAAACCGGCGCUAAUACCGGAUAAUAUAUUGAACCGCAUGGUUCAAUAGUGAAAGACGGUUUUGCUGUCACUUCUAGAUGGAUCCGCGCCGCAUUAGCUAGUUGGUAAGGUAACGGCUUACCAAGGCAACGAUGCGUAGCCGACCUGAGAGGGUGAUCGGCCACACUGGAACUGAGACACGGUCCAGACUCCUACGGGAGGCAGCAGUAGGGAAUCUUCCGCAAUGGGCGAAAGCCUGACGGAGCAACGCCGCGUGAGAGAUGAAGGUCUUCGGAUCGUAAAACUCUGUUAUUAGGGAAGAACAAAUGUGUAAGUAACUAUGCACGUCUUGACGGUACCUAAUCAGAAAGCCACGGCUAACUACGUG
rnacentral:rRNA from 1 species